CGGAAGUAGCUCAGCGGUGGAGCGUCUCCUUGCCAAGGAGAAGGUCGCGGGUUCAAAUCCCGUCUUCCG
rnacentral:tRNA from 1 species